UACGUAGGGUGCGAGCGUUGUCCGGAAUUACUGGGCGUAAAGCGCACGUAGGCGGAUUUGUAAGUCAGGGGUGAAAUCCCGGGGCUCAACCUCGGAACUGCCUUUGAUACUGCAAGUCUUGAGUCCGAUAGAGGUGAGUGGAAUUCCUAGUGUAGAGGUGAAAUUCGUAGAUAUUAGGAAGAACACCAGUGGCGAAGGCGGCUCACUGGAUCGGUACUGACGCUGAGGUGCGAAAGCGUGGGGAGCAAACAGGG
rnacentral:rRNA from 1 species